rnacentral:rRNA from 1 species
AUUGAACGCUGGAGGCAGGCCUAACACAUGCAAGUCGAACGGUAACAGGAAACAGCUUGCUGUUUCGCUGACGAGGGGCGGACGGGUGAGUAAUGUCUGGGAAACUGCCUGAUGGAGGGGGAUAACUACGGGAAACGGUAGCUAAUACCGCAUAAUGUCGCAAGACCAAAGAGGGGGACGUUCGUGCCUCUCGCCAUCGGAGGGGCCCAGCUGGGCUUAGCUAGUAGGUGGGGUAACGGCUCAGCUAGGCGACGAUCCCUAGCUGGUAGGAGAGGAUGACCAGCCACACUGGAACUGAGACACGGUCCAGACUCCUACGGGAGGCAGCAGUGGGGAAUAUUGCACAAUGGGCGCAAGCCUGAUGCAGCCAUGCCGCGUGUAUGAAGAAGGCCUUCGGGUUGUAAAGUACUUUCAGCGGGGAGGAAGGGCGUAAAGUUAAUACCUUUGCUCAUUGACGUUACCCGCAGAAGAAGCACCGGCUAACUCCGUGCCAGCCGCCGCAGUAA